CUUAGUUUUGCCUCCAUCUGUUUCCUGAUCUGAUGUAAGGUCAUUGAUUCCUCAGAUGCCUCCAGACCAAGAAGGAGAAGCAGCUGUCAGAGAAGGUGUUUGAAUAGGUAACCAAAAUGCUCACUGACAUGUGAGAUGUUGAUGGCAGUCCUACAGAUGUUUCAAAAUCCUAAAGAGUGGAGGUUAAUGGCUUCACAAUACCCAAGGCGUUGCACAAAAAGGGUAUUUAUGGAAGAAUGGCAAGGAAGAAGUCCUGGCCAAGAAGAAAGCAUAUCCCUGCCUGUAAAGACUUUGCAAACUGUCACUUAGAGAUACCAUAAAGAUGAGGAAGAAAGUCUAGUGCUUGGAUGAGAUUAAAGUGGAAUGUUUUGGACCCAACAUUAAGUGGUACAUGUGGUGUAAAUCUAAUGCUGUACAUCAGCCAGGUAACACCAUCCCUACUGUAAAACAUGGUGGAGGUAACAUCAUGCAAUGGGCAAACACAAGAAAAUCUGCAGAUGCUGGAAAUUCAAGCAACACACACAAAAUGCUGGUAGAACAUAGCAGGCCAGGCAGCAUCUAUAGGAAGAGGUACAGUCGGCGUUUUGGGCUGAGACCCUUUGUCAGGACGAACUGAAAGAUGAGAUAGUAAGAGAUUUGAAAGCUGGAGGGGGAGGGGGAGAUCCGAAAUGAUAGGAGAAGACAGGUGGGGAAGGGA